ACUUUACGGUGUCUGGAAGCUCGUUGAAGCAGAGGAGACUUGACGGUAUGAUGAGUGCAGCCAUGCUGAAGGUAGUUCUUCUUCUUGGAUGCCUGCUGAGCCUCACUGUGGCUCAACCUGUGAAGCAGGACCAGCGCGUGGCCCGCUCCAGCUCUCGUGAGGGGUCACUUUUCAAUCUAUCCAGCCUUUACAGGCAGAUUCUUUGGAACGCCUUGCUCCAACGACUUCUGAGCACAACCACUGCCACAACCACGACGGCUAAACCAUGAAGGAAAAUCUGAGACGCAAACAGAAAUCAAUAAAAAGAA